AGAUUGAACGCUGGCGGCGUGCUUAACACAUGCAAGUCGUGCGGUAACAGGCGUAGCAAUACGUGCUGACGAGCGGCGAACGGGUGCGUAAUACAUGGGAAUCUGCCCUUUAGUGGGGAAUAACUCGGCGAAAGCCGGGCUAAUGCCGCAUAAGAUCUUCGGAUGAAAGCGGGGGAUCGUAAGACCUCGCGCUGAUGGAUGAGCCCAUGUCGGAUUAGCUAGUUGGUGAGGUAACGGCUCACCGAAGGCGACGAUCCGUAGCUGGUCUGGAGAGGACGGCCAGCCACACUGGGACUGGAGACACGGCCCAGACUCCGUACGGGAGCAGCAGUGGGAAUGUUGGACAAGUGGGGAAACCCUGAUCCAGCGACGCCGCGUGUGUGAAGAAGGCCUGGCGGUUAGAAAGCACGUUUCGAAGUGGAAACGAAAGUAGUCGGCCGGACUAAA
rnacentral:rRNA from 1 species